UUGCCAGCCGCCGCGGUUAUACGAGUGGCCCAAGUUGUUAGCCCUCGGCGUAAAGAGUGGUUAGAGCGACACACACAACACUGAGGCCGAACACCUUCAGAGCAGUGAUACGCUUCCGAAGGCAUGAAGCACACCCACGAAAGUAGCCUCACCCAACUUGAACCCACGAAAGCUAAGACACAAACUGGGAUUAGGUACCCCACUAUGCUUAGCCCUAAACAACGACACCAAUUACACCAAAACUCCGCCAGGGUACUACGAGCAUUAGCUUGAAACCCAACGGACUUGGCGG
rnacentral:rRNA from 1 species